rnacentral:rRNA from 1 species
UAGGGAAUCUUCCACAAUGGACGCAAGUCUGAUGGAGCAACGCCGCGUGAGUGAAGAAGGUCUUCGGAUCGUAAAGCUCUGUUGUUGGUGAAGAAGGAUGAGGCAGUAACUGGUCUUUAUUUGACGGUAAUCAACCAGAAAGUCACGGCUAACUACGUGCCAGCAGCCGCGGUAAUACGUAGGUGGCAAGCGUUGUCCGGAUUUAUUGGGCGUAAAGCGAGCGCAGGCGGAAUGAUAAGUCUGAUGUGAAAGCCCACGGCUCAACCGUGGAACUGCAUCGGAAACUGUCAUUCUUGAGUGCAGAAGAGGAGAGUGGAACUCCAUGUGUAGCAGUGGAAUGCGUAGAUAUAUGGAAGAACACCAGUGGCGAAGGCGGCUCUCUGGUCUGCAACUGACGCUGAGACUCGAAAGCAUGGGUAGCGAACAGGAUUAGAUACCCUGGUAGUCCAUGCCGUAAACGAUGAGCGCUAGGUGUUGGGGC